CAGAUAAUUUAAUACGCUACUUGUGAACUUUUAUUUAACUAAUAGUCAGGUUUUAUGUAGUUGUUCCACUUCUGAGUAAAUCUGAAAACGUUUAGGCUGCUCAUACUUUAGACUGUCGGGUUAAAUUAGCUGAAAAAAAACCCAGUGUCAUGUACGUGUAAACUGUUUUAGUGUCACAGUGCAGUGAUAUAUGUAGAGCAGUAUAUUUAACGAUAUAUAUUGUCAACAAAUGUUUUUCUGUUCUAUGUUAGAGGCUCUUUAUUAUUAUGGCAGCAUAGCCCUGAUAAUGAAUGAUUUCUCAGCCUCAUUUCAUCAAAGACAGACCUCAGUGUGAAUCAGGAUGUACUUACCAGUGGCUGCGUUGUAAUACACACUGAUCCUGUCCAGCUGCAGGUCACUGUCUCCAUGGUAGGUUCCUGUUGGGUCGAUGCCGUGCUCAUCGCUGAUCACCUCCCAGAACUAAACACACAAACGUGCAGGCCAACAAAUCAUCAGUAAAAGAAGCCAGCGACAAAAGAGUCCAACUCACCAGGCGGCCAAGACAGCAGCUGGCCCCGUCUGCUCAAGUCUGGCCUGCUUCAUUAAUCACGGAUCAAUGACUUCAGUCACUGUUUUGUCAACAGUUCCAAGUGUGUGAAUUGUUACUGCAAGAAUUGUUUAUGCAGAAUGUGUGUUGGGCUUCUAGUGUAUUUUCUGGGUCGACCUUACUGUACUUUGUGCUGCUUUCAUGACUCAUCCCGUCACUGAGAUACUUCAACAGUGAUUUAUUGUUUCUGUCUGGUAUUUUGUAUCCACCGUUACAAUAGGAGUCAAAAUAUUAUCUACCUAAGCUGAAUUAUCAGUGUGUAAAUAUCUUAUAUGUUUCUUGUGGUUAUUGUUGUGGUCUGUCACCUUUUUUAUGCUGCUGUCUUUGCCAGGUCGCCCUUGUAUAAGAGGUCAUUGAUGUUAUCGGGGUUUUACCUGGUUAAAUAUGGGUUAAAUAAAUAAAUGUGACUGUG